AUUAGGAAUUAUGCGCAAUGGGCGAAAGCCUGACGCUGCAAUACCGCGUGGUGGAUGAAGGUCUUCGGAUUGUAAACACCUUUUAUAGCUGAACAAGUUCUGAGUGUAAGCUACGAAUAAGCAUCUUCUAACUACGUGCCAGAAGAAUCGGUGAUACGUAGGAUGCAAGCGUUAUCCGGAUUUACUGGGUGUAAAGAGACGCGUAGGCGACUUAAUAAGUCUUUGGUUAAAUCUCUCGGCUUAACCGAGAAAUUGCCAUAGAAACUAUCAAGAUUGAGGCAGAUAGAGGAAAAGGGAAUUCCUGGUGGAGCGGUGAAAUGUGUUGAUAUCAGGAGGAACACCAAUGGCGAAGGCACUUUUCCAUGUCUUGCCUGACGCUAAGGCUCGAAAGCGUGGGGAGCAAAACGGAUUAGAUACCCGGGUAGUCC
rnacentral:rRNA from 1 species